GAUGAACGCUGGCGGCGUGCCUAAUACAUGCAAGUCGAGCGAACAGACGAGGAGCUUGCUCCUCUGACGUUAGCGGCGGACGGGUGAGUAACACGUGGAUAACCUACCUAUAAGACUGGGAUAACUUCGGGAAACCGGAGCUAAUACCGGAUAAUAUAUUGAACCACAUGGUUCAAUAGUGAAAGACGGUUUUGCUGUCACUUAUAGAUGGAUCCGCGCCGCAUUAGCUAGUUGGUAAGGUAACGGCUUACCAAGGCAACGAUGCGUAGCCGACCUGAGAGGUUGAUCGGCCACACUGGAACUGAGACACGGUCCAGACUCCUACGGGAGGCAGCAGUAGGGAAUCUUCCGCAAUGGGCGAAAGCCUGACGGAGCAACGCCGCGUGAGUGAUGAAGGUCUUCGGAUCGUAAAACUCUGUUAUUAGGGAAGAACAAAUGUGUAAGUAACUAUGCACGUCUUGACGGUACCUAAUCAGAAAGCCACGGCUAACUACGUG
rnacentral:rRNA from 1 species